rnacentral:rRNA from 1 species
AUGAGGAGAGGGAAUGACCUGAGGUCCAAGGUGUGUCUUGAGCUGGCUGACAUGGAAUGUGGGGUACAGCUGACACCCUUCUGGCUGCUUGUCUGCUCUGAAGCAAUGUGUCACUUCACAUAUAGAAUCAAGAAGAGAAGAUUCAGCAACCAUAGGAGGAGACAAACCAUAAAGAGCUUGGGAUGGUGUGAUUUCAGAGAAGUAUGGAAGGUGGUGUUGUACCACCACUCUGCCAAAGUGAGCCACAGCUCAUUCAUUUCUUUGGCUGUUGAAAGCUCAUGCACCUUAAAUAGGUUUCCAAGCACUGAUUCACUCUUUCGGUUUGACCAUCAGGUUACAUGCCUAUCAGUCACAAUCACAGUUCACAAGCCAAGUAAUGUAAAUAUGUUGUGA